AGAGGCAUGAACCUUGCAUACAAUGUAGAUUUCUGUGUUCAUAGGCAACAGCUACAUGUCUGCUGGGUUUCAGGCUACCUGG
rfam:Callithrix jacchus chromosome X, whole genome shotgun sequence